UGGGGAAUAUUGCACAAUGGGCGCAAGCCUGAUGCAGCCAUGCCGCGUGUAUGAAGAAGGCCUUCGGGUUGUAAAGUACUUUCAGCGGGGAGGAAGGGAGUAAAGUUAAUACCUUUGCUCAUUGACGUUACCCGCAGAAGAAGCACCGGCUAACUCCGUGCCAGCAGCCGCGGUAAUACGGAGGGUGCAAGCGUUAAUCGGAAUUACUGGGCGUAAAGUGCACGCAGGCGGUUUGUUAAGACAGAUGUGAAAUCCCCGGGCUCAACCUGGGAACUGCAUCUGAUACUGGCAAGCUUGAGUCUCGUAGAGGGGGGUAGAAUUCCAGGUGUAGCGAUGAAAUGCGUAGAGAUCUGGAGGAAUACCGGUGGCGAAGGCGGCCCCCUGGACGAAGACUGACGCUCAGGUGCGAAAGCGUGGGGAGCAAACAGG
rnacentral:rRNA from 1 species